rnacentral:rRNA from 1 species
AUACGGAGGAUCCGAGCGUUAUCCGGAUUUAUUGGGUUUAAAGGGUGCGCAGGCGGCCAUUUAAGUCAGCGGUUAAAUCGUGGGGCUCAACCCCAUUCUGCCGUUGAUACUGGGUGGCUUGAUCGCGGUCGAGGUUGGCGGAAUUCGUUGUGUAGCGGUGAAAUGCUUAGAUAUCACGAAGAACUCCGAUCGCGAAGGCAGCUCACCGGGCCGGAACUGACACUGAUGCUCGAAAGUGCGGGUAUCAAACAGGAUUAGAUACCCUGGUAGUCCGCACAGUAAACGAUGAAUACUCGCUGUUUGCGAUACACUGUAAGCGGCCAAGCGAAAGCGUUAAGUAGUCCACCUGGGGAGUACGCCGGCAACGGUGAAACUUAAAGGAAUUGACGUGG